UCUCUUAUCGUACAAUGGGAAAGUACGCAUGAGAACUAUGAAUUUGAGAGGGAGAUUUCUUCAUGAUGUCUGGGUUCGAAUCCCAGUAAGAGAC